GAUCGGUGCUUCUACUCAGGGGCACUUCUAGUUUCCUAAUCCACAGUUUACAACUAUUUUGCGGCCAUUAAAGAGGGGCCAAUAGACAUUUUGCACAAUGUAGCAACGCCCAUUUCCGCUUUACUUCCUACCCGAUACAUCGCUUCAUGUUCCGAUCGCGUCCUGUCAGCCUGAUUUUAGCCAUACUUGUAUCGAAGUCGCUGGUUUUAUCAUUAUCUCAGUAUAUUCAUAUAAUCAUAUUUCUGGAGCGUUUUUUUAUAUUUCUUGUUGAAAUUUCUGUGUUCUGUCCUUUUUUUUGUCUCUUAGCUAGCUAGCUAUUAACACGCUAACUAGUAAGGUGGCUAGCAAUUAGCCAAUCCCUUACCAACCAUGGCACUGUUUUACUCAAGCCGCUUGCAAGAGCUGGGAAAAGGAUGUACAUCGUCUGACCAAGACAAGUAGCAAAGCACCGACCUCCAAGUUGGAAAAAUGAUUCAAACUUUGUCUCCAGUUAACUUUUCAACUAUGAAGGUUGUACUGAAGCCCUCUGAGCCAGUAACAAUGACACAUCACUGUUCAUGUGUUGCUGGCAUUGCAUUAUGCAACCACACAGUUGCAUUAAUAUUCCAAGAUGGGAACACCAGUCGUCCCACCUGUGCACAGCUGCACAGAGGCCGAGCAGCAGUGGCAUAAGCCAAGGACUAUGUUAUGUUUUAAUAGCUGUACCACAUAUCAACAUCAUAUGGUUAUAAUCACAUCAUAAUAAAUUAUUUAGUGAAAUUUGUCUCAUGAUUAGAUUUAGAAUGGUGCCCUUGUACUGUCUUUUUACAGGUUCUGCCCAUAGGCAAAAUGUCCAUCAUCAAGCCCACCAAAAAGCGCAUGGCAGAAGGAACGAUUAGGUGGUUUCAAGUACAUUGUUUAGAUUGGCUAACCACAGCGGCUGCUUUGCAGAAGUACACUCUACAGCGCCCUUCUUGGAACGCUCCCUGACCUCUCAGUUCUCCAGAUAGAAGAGGCAUACAAUAACUUUGACCCUCUAUCCAAGCCAUUGAUCUGCAGCGUGGGGAUGUCUGUUGAAAAGCUUUUAGUCUACUCCCACUUCGGAAAGGUACAGGUGGGGAGCCUCCUGUCUUACCAGCAGCCUCCAAUCACAACGUGACCAUAGUUCACCAUAAGGAAACACCACCAUUUCCUUCACUGCCCCUGGAUGGCUACAGACUGGAGAGCAACUUUCAAGGCUGCACAUUUGUGCGCAGUGAAGAAGACCAGCUUCACAUAGUCUCUUCAGGUCUACUCCUCUACUUGAACUGCUUUCUGUGUCAUUGUGACCCUACUAUCUGCCCCACCUCCUCUGGGGACAUCAGACCACAAUGUUGUCUACAUCCGGCCAACCUACUGUCGGCUCCUGGAGAGGGAGAAACCUACAUUUAAAACUGUCCAGAUCUGGAAUGACAACAGUAUCACUUGUCUCCAGGGGUGUUUUGACUGUACAAUGUGGGAGGUAUUUGAGGACAGCAGCUCUGAUCUUAGUCUGAAACAACAUCUGUGAGUUCAUUAUGUAAACUUCUGUGUUGUCAGUUGUGCCUAAUAAAACCUGUAAAAUAUUCCCUAACAAGAAGCCUUGGGUAUCAACAAAUCUAAAAUAACUACUUAAUAGGUAGAUGGCAGUUUAUGCUGAGGGUAAUUGACAGGCUUUAAGAGAUGUACAACGUGAGAUCAAAAGACAGAUACUGGUGGACAAGGAGGCAUACAAGCAAAGGGUGGAGAGGACCCUCUCAGGAAACUCAAGGGUGGCCUGGCAAGGGAUUAAAUCCAUGGCUAGUCCCAUGUCAGGGUUCUGUUUGUUGACUUUUCUUCUGCCUUCAAUACAAUCCAGCCUUACAUUGUCAGAGACUCAUAAGGGACUUCUCCUUUAAUAGGGGGCUGGUUUUGUGGCUGUUGGACUUCCUGAGCCAGAGGUCACAGUGGGUCAAAGUAGGUCCCCACGUGUCGAACAUACGCACCACCAACACAGGCUCCACAGGGAUGUGUUUUGUCCCCACUCCUGUAGCUACACUAAUAGUUGUAAUAUUUCCCAUCCUGA